rnacentral:tRNA from 1 species
UCCAUGGUAGUCCAGUGGUUAGGACUUGGUGCUUUCACUGCCAGGCCCCAGGUUCAAUCCCUGGUUGGGGAA